rfam:Mesitornis unicolor contig102788, whole genome shotgun sequence.
UGGAAAUAUGGAAUGAGAGCAGAACAGCACUCCCCUUGGUUAGGAUGCAAGAAGUUCUAAUGGACUUUUAACCAUGUUUAAGACUGUCACUUACUUUGCGGCAUCUAAUGUAUAU